CGCGUAGGCCGUUGAGUUAGUUAAUUGUGAAAUCCCAAAGCUUAACUUUUGGAACUGCAAUUAAAACUGCUCGACUAGAGUUUGAUAGAGGAAAGCGGAAUACAUAGUGUAGAGGUGAAAUUCGUAGAUAUUAUGUAGAACACCAGUUGCGAAGGCGGCUUUCUGGAUCAACACUGACGCUGAGGGGCGAAAGUAUGGGUAGCAAAGA
rnacentral:rRNA from 1 species